rnacentral:misc_RNA from 1 species
UCCGAGUUGACCCCGGCAGUCUUCUACGAGUCCCCACCAUUACGUGCUGGCAACAUAGAACGAGGGUUGCGCUCGUUGCGGGACUUAACCCAACAUCUCACGACACGAGCUGACGACAACCAUGCACCACCUGUGAGGCGCCCUUGCGGACCCAACAUUUCUGCUGGUUUUCACCCCAUGUCAAGCCUUGGUAAGGUUCUUCGCGUUGCAUCGAAUUAAUCCGCAUGCUCCGCCGCUUGUGCGGGCCCCCGUCAAUUCCUUUGAGUUUCAGCCUUGCGACUGUACUCCCCAGGCGGCAUAUUUAACGCGUUAGCUCCGGCACAGAUCAACUGAAUGACCUACACCAAAUAUGCAUCGUUUAGGGCGUGGACUAC